rnacentral:rRNA from 1 species
UACAGAGGGUGCGAGCGUUGUUCGGAAUUAUUGGGCGUAAAGGGCGCGUAGGCGGUGCGGUAAGUCACCUGUGAAAUCUCCUGGCUCAACUGGGAGCUUGCAGGCGAAACUGCCGUGCUGGAGUGUGGGAGAGGUGAGUGGAAUUCCCGGUGUAGCAGUGAAAUGCGUAGAUAUCGGGAAGAACACCUAUGGCGAAGGCAGCUCUCUGGGACGGUACUGACGCUGAGACGCGAAAGCGUGGGGAGCAAACAGG